GCGCCGAUGGUCUAGUGGUUAUGAUUCGAGCUUCCCAAGUUCGCGAUCCGGGUUCGACUCCCGGUCGGCGCA
rfam:Candidatus Pacearchaeota archaeon CG1_02_39_14 cg1_0.2_scaffold_372_c, whole genome shotgun sequence.